UACAGAGGGCCCAAGCGUUGUUCGGAUUCACUGGGCGUAAAGGGUGCGUAGGCGGUCGGGUAAGUCUGAUGUGAAAUCUCACAGCUUAACUGUGAAACUGCAUUGGAUACUAUUCGGCUUGAGAGUUGGAGGGGGGACUGGAAUUCUUGGUGUAGCAGUGAAAUGCGUAGAUAUCAAGAGGAACACCAGUGGCGAAGGCGGCCCCCUGGGCAGUAACUGACACUGAGGCGCGACAGCGUGGGGAGCAAACAGG
rnacentral:rRNA from 1 species